ACUCUGCUGUGGUCGUGGGCUGGGAUUCGGGCUGUGAGCCUGACUGUAGAGCUGAAUUGUUUCUCUACUCCGUUACGCUCUGCUCCUACUUUGGCUCCUCUGAUCCGUUUCCCAUUCCUCAACGGCUACGGUGAUCUUUUAGAACACUGCAAGGCUCCCCAGUUAUGCAAUGCCUGGGCUUCGCGUGGCUCCCAAGAGCCUGAAGUCCUUCCUGUAGCUGCCGAGCCCUGCGCAGCCUGCCCUGCCCGUCAGCUUCAUCCUCAGGAGGGAGGGGCGUCUUCAUCCUCUGCCCCUCCCGCCUGCGGCUCCAGCCCCUCUCUUCCGGGCCUUCCCCCUUAGGAAGCUUCUGGGACUGCGUGUUGUGUACUCCUGUCCUCACGUCUCCUCGGUGACUCACUCAUACUGACAACUUGGAGCUCAGCCUCUGCGAACCCCCAGGUGCCCUGUCUUACCUGUGUCUAGCAGCCAGGCUUCGCUCCCCUCUAGAGGGUCCCAUCAGACAAGGGAAGCUAUAAGAGACUCUCCCUCAGACACGGAGGGCAAGAUGGAAGCCAAAAGUCCAGAUUUAGUCGUGCGGACUCCUAGCCUUGGGCAGUGAGGAAUAAAGGCACCAGCGAGCUCCAUCUUAAUUCUUUGGUGGUCUCCAAAUGUAACUUUGGGUUUUAUUGAAAACAUAGAAGCUCCAAAAGAGACACAAGGCCAGUGGGCCCGGCCAGUCUACAGAGCUGCAGCAUCAGAGAGAGCACACCGUCUCCCGGGUGGAGUUCACAGCCUCCGGCCACUCCAUUUCCUGUCAGCUUCAGUUGCUGGAAGGUUCCUGUCAGCACUGAGGAGAAGCUCUCGCUCUUAGCCACUAUACAUUCUUCUAAGGGUGUCACAUCUCAGUGACUCGGUUGUACUCCUCAGACAUGUUUUGGAAUAGUGGGUUCAAAGGCUGAGGAGACAGUAAAGAAAUGCGGCCUGCAGCUUCUUCAGCCUUAGUGUCUGUUAGGCUCUGGCAGCUGCAGGUGGAUAUGGAAGGCACAACUGAGGUCACUGAGAUUUGCUCUGAUGCAUCCACUUUCUUGAUCUCAGACCCAGUGAGGACCCAGAGCUUAUGUUUUGUCAUCCAGGCACCUGGAAAGGUAGCUUUUCUCUAUGUGACAUUCUUAUGCCCAGGUGAGAAUCUGAGGUUCUCUUUGUUCCCUUAGCCUGAGAGGCGGCAGCUGGGAGCACAUGCACCCGGCACAGGUCCAGAGCUCGGCGCGCAGGCCGUGGGCCAUGGAGGACUCCAGGGCAGACCAGAGUGUGGGAGCCCAGCGCCAGCCCGGGGAGCGUGUGCCUCUGAAUCAUAAGUGGAUUGAAUGUGGAGGCCUGGGGUUGAAGCCUGGCUCUGUCACUGUGGCGGUUGAAAAUAUAUCCACAAAUCCUUAAAUUCUCUGCAUCGUCUUUAAAAGAUGGCGCUUGGGCUUGGGGGUAUGGCUCAGCGGUUACAGGGUUUGCCUGGUACAAAGCGGUGCUGGGUCUAGUCCCUGGCACCACAGUGUGUAUGCGGCGGGGAGGCAUAGAACCUAAUUCUUCCCACUGUAAACCUGGGCUGGAUUUAGUGACUCACUUCUAACAAGUAUUAAUGAUGGCAUGAAACAUCCAAAACUGGGCUAUAAAAGACAUUGAGUCUUCCAGCUUGGUGCUUCCCUCGGAUCAGGUGCUUCCUGGCUGCCCUGUCAUAAUGACACACAAGCAGACGGUUAGAGGGGCUCACGCGGCAAGGAUCCAACUCCUCCCAGCAGAGGCCUAGUGUGUGCCCCGCGCUGGAAGCAGAGCCUCCCGCCCCCAGCAAAGCCAUCGGAUGACUGCAGCCUCUACAGGCAUCUUGACAGCAACCGCACCAGGGACUCUGAGCCUGACCCUUGCAGCUGAGCCGCUCCCAAAUUCCUGGUCUACAGGCACUGUGAGAUAAGGAGGCAUGUUCCUGAUUUUGAGCCAUUAAGUUCUGAGAUACUCUGUUACUCAGCAAUGGAUAAGCAAUCACCAGCUCUUUGACCCCGGCACAUUACUCAACUUCUCUGUGCCUGCAUUUCCUUAUCUGUGAAAUAAAGAGAAUACUUCCUGUCUUAGCAGGGUGGUGUAGUAAAUGAUAUACUACUGUGUCAACAGUUCUCAACUUCUACACUCUUCAAACUGAGGGCCCUAACGUGUUUGUUUGUGUGAUUUAUCUACCAAAUAUCAUAACAUACACCAUUUCAGAGACCUGAGGUAGAAAUCUAGCCACAAAAUGGAGAAGAGCUCUCAUACAACAGUCAGUCAGCUGCAGGUGGACUGAGAGAGACAUUUUGAUAUACCAGUGGCAAAUCAUUUUUACAUUUAGAUCUUCCCAAGGUUGAAUGGACAAUUUUGAGGAUUUUAUUUAGAGUUUUAACCUGAGACAUUUAAGAAACAUUUUACUAUGUCUUUUAAAUAUAAUAAGGGCUAGGGGAUAUAACUUAGUGCCAAAA